GACGAACGCUGGCGGCGUGCUUAACACAUGCAAGUCGAACGGAAAGGCCCUGCUUUUGUGGGGUGCUCGAGUGGCGAACGGGUGAGUAACACGUGAGUAACCUGCCCUUGACUGUGGGAUAUCUUCAGGAAACUGGGGCUAUUACCGGAUAGGAGCUCCUGCUGCAUGGUGGGGGUUGGUAAGUUUCGGCGGUUGGGGAUGGACUCGCGGCUUAUCGGCUUGUUGGUGUGGUAGUGGCUUACCAAGGCUUUGACGGGUAGCCGGGCUGAGAGGGGGACCGGCGACAUUGGGCCUGAGAUAAGGCCCAGACUCCUACGGUAGGCAGCAGUGGGGAAGAUUGCACAAUGGGCGGAAGCCAGGUGCAGCAACGCCGCGUGCGGGAAGACGGGCUGCGGGUUGUAAACCGCUUUCGCCUGUGACGAGGCGUGAGUGACGGUAAUGGGUAAAGAAGCACCGGCUAACUACGUG
rnacentral:rRNA from 1 species